CUGCGCCUCGUCGGGAGCCGCGGGCGGGGCCCGCCCCAAAGCCUCUUAAGCUCCUCCGGAGGCUGCCGGGAGCCACGGGGGAGUUUCUGCGGUUUUGUAUGGGAGACGGAGUGAGUUCUGUUUCUUUGUCGGGCCCUGGUGCUGCUGAGGCUGAGAAGCGGCUGCUGUGAGCCCUUUUGCGGUAAGGACCAGCCCAAACAGGUGAGCGGUUCGGGUAGUAAGGGGACGGUGAGCGCUCAGGAGCCGCCAGGAUCUCCGGAGCUGGCGGCUGUCGGACCCCGCUCUUCUCGGGGCCGGCGUUAGGUCGCCGCCGGGCUCCCCCGGCUGUGCGGAGCCGAUACGGCGCCGCCGCCGCCGCCCGGCUGCCGUCGCGUUUUCGGAGGCGGCUGCCGCUCCGACCCCCGAGUCCUCGCACAGCCCCGGGGUGCUCUCAGCCCCCCUCACCCUCGGGAUUUCUUUCAGCGGGUGCUUCAGUUCUUCAGGCUCUCCUCGGCUGAGCGAGGGCUGUAGCAGAGCCUCUCAUCGCUCCGAAGCAGGCAGCUCGUGGAAGCGGUGAGUGUUUGAGAGUCGCUCGGUAAGAUCUCCCCUGCUGGGGCUCCUGUAGGGUUGCUGCCCGACUGCCUCCGUGUCUUUGGGAUCGGCACGGCGCCGCCGCUGGGGGCUCCCCGCGUGGCUUUUUAGUAGGACCGGCACGGGGCCUCCGCCCGAGACCGAGCACGAUCCCGGGGUGGCCUCGGCCACUGCGGAGUGUUUUGCGGGUGCUCUCACCCAUCCCGUUUCCAGCGGUGGGAGCGAGCAGGUUGGGACCGUGGUUUUAUUUUUUUUUUUUCCCCGCCUCUUCCUUCCCGUGUAACUGCAGGAGCACGAUUUAGGUUCCCACCGUGGAGACCUGGCAGGGCAGCUCGCACGACUGAAGUGCUGUCGUGGAUGGCUCUGUUCCUUUUAGGAAAGGCAGACCGGUCAGGCGGUGGAGUCUCUUUUCGAGGGAGAGAACGGGAACGUAUCGAGCUCCACCUAGGGAUGACUGAAGAACCAGCGGAGCGUUUGUGCGUGAGGCUGAAGAGGCAGCUGGAAAUGGUGCCCACAGCUGUGAGGCUAGUUCUCAUGGUAGGCUCCAGGAGUUUCCUGCAAUGUGUCAAAGGUAAGAUCUUCUGACACAGGUGACGAAGGAGGCAUUGAGGAGAGGGGCUGCUGGAGCUCCCUAUUGCAGAAGAGCCAUCUGGGGACAGGAAGGCCAGGGGCAGCCUGGAGCGUGCCAGUCGUGAGACCACAGCGUUUGGGAUCUUGUGUGGAAGCUGCAAAGCAAUGAGUAGGAUUGAAACACUGGACUUAGAGGGAGCCAGGUUUGUCCUCUUGAAGGGCCUACUUGGAGGUAACCCUUGCUCAAGCAUAGGAAGGGGUCCUGUGAAUGCUGGAGCAUUACUUCGUCCAUGCUGAGGUGCGCUGCGUCCCAAGGAGGAAGGAAGUGCGCAGGAAUGGUGGGGGACCUGCAGGGCUGACUGAGGAACUUGAAGGGGAGAAGGAAGAGAGAGGCUGAGGAAGGCCAAGUCCCUGUGAGUAUCAGCUUUGGGAGGGAGGUCAAGGCUAAUGGAAGUUUGUCAACAGGAGAGACUGGAGAAAUUGCAGGCCUGUGCUUCACAAGGCAAGGGCCUGAGUAAUGGAGGAUGUGUUGGAUGCCUGUUUUGGUUUCAGUGGUCUCUGCUGAGAGUGCUCCUGGGCAACCUGGGGUCCUGGAGGAGAGAGUCUCAGAGGAAGGUUGCCUUCCCCUCAGUUGCAGAGGAGCUGGUCAAAAGUGGUUCAGGCAGAAAGGAGGCCAGCAAAUGCCUGAGCUGUAGAGGGCUAUGCCUGUGCCCGCUGAGAGCUGGCAGCGGUGACCGGCAAAUGGUGCUCUCUGUCACUUUUCCCUGCUGUUUCCUGUGGGGAAAGGUACCUGAAGACUGGAGGGUGGCGGAUGCCACCGCAGCCUUCAGAAAGGGUGUGGAGGAUGGCGUGUGCAACUUGGAGGUAGGUUGGCCUCACCUCUGUUCCUGGGGAGGUGACGUAACAGCUUGUUGCAGGUGUCAUUGCCAUGUGACCGGAAGAGAAGGAAUUUGCAAGGAGCAGUCCAGGUGGAUGGACAGAGGGGAAGUCAUGCCGGACCAAAAGGGCGAGGGCUGCAGCGGAGAGCUUUGCCGAGAGGGUUGGCUGGAGCAGGUGUGCGGUUUCCCCAGCAGUGGGAUGAAGGAGGUGAGAGAGGGGGAGCCCCAGGUGGGAGCCCUCAUGGCGGAGGGCUGCCCCCAGGCGUGCCCCCUUGGAGGUGGUUUGUGGAGGUCUCUGUGCAGGUUCAGGCUGGAGGAAGGAUCCUGGUGGUGUGAGCAGGGUGCCUCUGUGGAGAGCAAGGGUGGAAGGUGCGUGGCAGGCCCUGUCCCGGAGGAGUGGAGUUGAUGGAGUGUGGCCCUUUGAUGCUGGAGUGAGGGGUCCUGGUGGGGCUGAAGUCCUGCGUGGAAGAGGGAGAUCCCAGGCGCUGCGAUGCGGAGGAGGAGCGGAGCCAGCGGGUGCUCUAGUGGCUCCUGUGUGGUGAUGGCUGCUUAGUGGUGGUGUUCCUGGUCCUGGGCUGAAAGGAGGAGGAGGAGAAAGCUUUUAGUGCCUUACUUCAAAGCUCAGAGCACCUACUCCAACAGCACCAUGCCUCAGCCUCACUUCGCUCACCAGCUGAAAUUGCUGAGGAUGUUUCCUGUGUCUGUGUUGUUGCAGCUGAAUUUCUGCAAGGCAGCCUUUCUCAGAUGCGGUAGGGCUUCCCUGGCUUGAGGAUGUAUAUUGUACCUUCGUGUGGAAGUCUGCAGUUAACUUCACUUUUAGUUAGUUAAUGUUCCAGCUGUGCUGCUGUUCAAAUGCAGCCACCUCUACAAGGCAGGAGAGAAAAAGGAGUUAAUUGACUUGAAUACAGAACUACUCUCCUUCUGCCUUUGCUGCUACUGUGUCUCAGUGUGUUAGUAGGUUGACUCAUUAGUGCAAGGAGAUGUCUGCUGGCCUUUAAGCUGUUGCUGCUGGGGCUAACAGGCUCUGCUUUUUUCCCAGUGGGCUGGUGAAGGAGUACACUACUGAGAAGAGAGGAAAAGCUUAACAAGUAUACAAACUCAGUAAAAUGGCUGCUGGGUGUAGAAUAGGAAUGCAGCCUGUGUUGGAAGGGACCUCCCACUUGUAGCUCUGCCCCGGUCUGCCUGAACUUCAACUGCCAUCUCCAAUGGUAGUGUCCAAAUGCUUCUCCAACUCCCUCAGCCUGGGGCUGUGACUGCUGCCUGGGGAGCUUGCUCUAACCACCCUCUGGUCCAGGGUCUUGUUGUAAUCUCCAAGGUGGCUUAAUACAUGCACAUAAAUAUGCAUCUAAGUCCCUUGCCCUGGUCAUUUCUAGAAAUACUGAAGUGCGUGUGCCCUGAAAUGAAGCCCCGUGGCCCCUGACGAGUGCUGGUCUGCUGGCCUCUUGCACUCUCAUUUAUUCUAACAAAUGCUUUGAGCCCCUUUUGCAGGGGGCUGAGUCACAGCUUAGCUUUUUGUUUAAGGUUUUAGGAGGAAGGGGUGUUUCAUGGUGUGAGAUUUAGUCCUCAGGCCUGCUUUCCUGACAAGGAUUUUCUUUACCUACUCCCCUGCGUGAUACAUGCUUUGAACCAGGCCAGAGGACAGAUUUCUUGCUUUGGUAACCUGGGCUUCCUCUUCCACAGUGGGAUGUUGUAGAAACACACAGGCACAGAUUGAUAAAACAGAAAAUAGAGCAGUUACUGAAUCUGUGUCUGAACUAGAAGUUGAUGGCGUAUUCCUCUGGUAGAAGAAUGUGAAAAGAUGGGGCCUGAAGCAGGAGUAAGUUUAUAGCUAAAGCGUAAAGAUCUUGCUCUCGCCCAAAGUUGG
ensembl:lncRNA